rnacentral:rRNA from 1 species
GAUUCUGGCUCAGAACGAACGCUGGUGGCGUGCUUAUACAUGCAAGCGAGCGAGGCAGCAAUGCCGAGCGGCGAACGGGUGAGUAACGCGUAAGCAAUCUGCCCCAUAUCAGGAAAUACCCGUGCCAACGCGCGGUUAAUGUCCAGGAGAGUGGCCCCCUGCAUGGAGGGUUGACUAGAGAUUUAUCGGUAUGGGAUGAGCUUGCGUCCGAUUAGCUAGUUGGCGGGCAACGGCCCACCAAGGCGACGAUCGGUAGCCGGCCUGAGAGGGUGAUCGGCCACAUUGGGACUGAGAUACGGCCCAGACUCCUACGGGAGGCAGCAGUAGGGAAUAUUGCACAAUGGGGGAAACCCUGAUGCAGCAACGCCCACGUGUGGGAAGAAGCAUUUCGGUGUGUAAACCACUGUCAUGAGGGAAUAAGGCCGUUUCCGACGGACCUUGAUGUACCUUGAGAGGAAGCACCGGCAAACUUCGUGCCAGCCGCGGC